GAUGAAGAACGCAGCGAAAUGCGAUAAGUAAUGUGAAUUGCAGAAUUCAGUGAAUUAUCGAAUCUUUGAACGCACAUUGCGCCCAUUAGCAUUCUAGUGGGCAUGCCUGUUCGAGCGUCAUUUCAACCCUUAAGCCCUGUUGCUUAGCGUUGGGAGCCUACAGUACUGUAGCUCCCCAAAGUUAGUGGCGGAGUCGGUUUCACACUCUAGACGUAGUAAUUUUUUCUCGUCUGUAGUUGAGCCGGUCCCCUGCCGUAAAACACCCAAUUUAUCAAGGUUGACCUCGGAUCAGGUAGGAAUACCCGCUGAACUUAAGCAUAUCAAUAAGCGGAGGA
rnacentral:misc_RNA from 1 species